AACGCACAUUGCGCCCUCUGGUAUUCCAGAGGGCAUGCCUGUUUGAGCGUCAUUUCUCUCUCAAACCUUCGGGUUUGGUAUUGAGUGAUACUCUUAGUUGAACUAGGCGUUUGCUUGAAAUGUAUUGGCAUGAGUGGUACUGGAUAGUGCUAUAUGACUUUCAAUGUAUUAGGUUUAUCCAACUCGUUGAAUAGUUUAAUGGUAUAUUUCUCGGUAUUCUAGGCUCGGCCUUACAAUAUAACAAACAAGUUUGACCUCAAAUCAGGUAGGAUUACCCGCUGAACUUAA
rnacentral:misc_RNA from 3 species